rnacentral:rRNA from 1 species
CAUCACUACGCUAGAUGCAUAUCAAUAAGCGGAGGAAAAGAAACUAACAAGGAUUCCCUUAGUAACGGCGAGUGAAGCGGGAAGAGCUCAAAUUUGAAAUCUUCAAGGUUCUACCUUGACGAAUUGUAGUUUAUAGAAGUGUUUUCUGUUAGUAGAGUGGCAAAAGUUCUUUGGAAUAGGACAUCAUAGAGGGUGAGAAUCCCGUAUUUGGUCAUUCCUUCCUAGCUUUGUGAUACACUUUCAACGAGUCGGAUUGUUUGGGAAUGCAGUCCAAAAUGGGUGGUAAUUUACAUCUAAAGCUAAAUAUUGGCGAGAGACUGAUAGCGAACAAGUACCGUGAGGGAAAGAUGAAAAGAACUUUGAAAAGAGAGUUAAACAGUUACGUGAAAUUGUCAAAAGGGAAGCGUUUGACACCAGUGUUGUUUUCUCGAAAAUCAAUUAAGAAUGCCGAUUUUGUUUUGAAGUAUUGACUUUAUCAGGCUUUCUGCUCUUUUUACUUGUAACUUUUUUAAUGCACUUUUCGGUUAACAAGUCAACAUCAAUUUCUUUUGCUGUAAAAGGGUAUGAGGAAGGUGGCUUCAUCUUCGGUAGAAAGUGUUUAUAGCCUUGUAGCCUCUACAAUCGGAGAGAUUGAGGUCUGCAGCGUAGACUCUUCGGGGUUAGAUACAGUUUGUGCUAAGUUAUAGCUUUCCAUAGACAACUUGUUGACUAUGAUUUAGUCUUGUAGCUUACUCGCUUAUGCUAUUUUACCUACGCUUAGGAUGUUGACGAGACUGUCGAUCUC